rnacentral:rRNA from 1 species
GGGUUGUGAGGUUAAGCGACUAAGCGUACACGGUGGAUGCCCUGGCAGUCAGAGGCGAUGAAGGACGUGCUAAUCUGCGAUAAGCGUCGGUAAGGUGAUAUGAACCGUUAUAACCGGCGAUUUCCGAAUGGGGAAACCCAGUGUGUUUCGACACACUAUCAUUAACUGAAUCCAUAGGUUAAUGAGGCGAACCGGGGGAACUGAAACAUCUAAGUACCCCGAGGAAAAGAAAUCAACCGAGAUUCCCCCAGUAGCGGCGAGCGAACGGGGAGCAGCCCAGAGCCUGAAUCAGUGUGUGUGUUAGUGGAAGCGUCUGGAAAGGCGCGCGAUACAGGGUGACAGCCCCGUACACAAAAAUGCACAUGCUGUGAGCUCGAUGAGUAGGGCGGGACACGUGGUAUCCUGUCUGAAUAUGGGGGGACCAUCCUCCAAGGCUAAAUACUCCUGACUGACCGAUAGUGAACCAGUACCGUGAGGGAAAGGCGAAAAGAACCCCGGCGAGGGGAGUGAAAAAGAACCUGAAACCGUGUACGUACAAGCAGUGGGAGCACAGAGCAAUCUGUGUGACUGCGUACCUUUUGUAUAAUGGGUCAGCGACUUAUAUUCUGUAGCAAGGUUAACCGAAUAGGGGAGCCGAAGGGAAACCGAGUCUUAACUGGGCGUUAAGUUGCAGGGUAUAGACCCGAAACCCGGUGAUCUAGCCAUGGGCAGGUUGAAGGUUGGGUAACACUAACUGGAGGACCGAACCGACUAAUGUUGAAAAAUUAGCGGAUGACUUGUGGCUGGGGGUGAAAGGCCAAUCAAACCGGGAGAUAGCUGGUUCUCCCCGAAAGCUAUUUAGGUAGCGCCUCGUGAAUUCAUCUCCGGGGGUAGAGCACUGUUUCGGCAAGGGGGUCAUCCCGACUUACCAACCCGAUGCAAACUGCGAAUACCGGAGAAUGUUAUCACGGGAGACACACGGCGGGUGCUAACGUCCGUCGUGAAGAGGGAAACAACCCAGACCGCCAGCUAAGGUCCCAAAGUCAUGGUUAAGUGGGAAACGAUGUGGGAAGGCCCAGACAGCCAGGAUGUUGGCUUAGAAGCAGCCAUCAUUUAAAGAAAGCGUAAUAGCUCACUGGUCGAGUCGGCCUGCGCGGAAGAUGUAACGGGGCUAAACCAUGCACCGAAGCUGCGGCAGCGACGCUUAUGCGUUGUUGGGUAGGGGAGCGUUCUGUAAGCCUGUGAAGGUGUGCUGUGAGGCAUGCUGGAGGUAUCAGAAGUGCGAAUGCUGACAUAAGUAACGAUAAAGCGGGUGAAAAGCCCGCUCGCCGGAAGACCAAGGGUUCCUGUCCAACGUUAAUCGGGGCAGGGUGAGUCGACCCCUAAGGCGAGGCCGAAAGGCGUAGUCGAUGGGAAACAGGUUAAUAUUCCUGUACUUGGUGUUACUGCGAAGGGGGGACGGAGAAGGCUAUGUUGGCCGGGCGACGGUUGUCCCGGUUUAAGCGUGUAGGCUGGUUUUCCAGGCAAAUCCGGAAAAUCAAGGCUGAGGCGUGAUGACGAGGCACUACGGUGCUGAAGCAACAAAUGCCCUGCUUCCAGGAAAAGCCUCUAAGCAUCAGGUAACAUCAAAUCGUACCCCAAACCGACACAGGUGGUCAGGUAGAGAAUACCAAGGCGCUUGAGAGAACUCGGGUGAAGGAACUAGGCAAAAUGGUGCCGUAACUUCGGGAGAAGGCACGCUGAUAUGUAGGUGAGGUCCCUCGCGGAUGGAGCUGAAAUCAGUCGAAGAUACCAGCUGGCUGCAACUGUUUAUUAAAAACACAGCACUGUGCAAACACGAAAGUGGACGUAUACGGUGUGACGCCUGCCCGGUGCCGGAAGGUUAAUUGAUGGGGUUAGCGGUAACGCGAAGCUCUUGAUCGAAGCCCCGGUAAACGGCGGCCGUAACUAUAACGGUCCUAAGGUAGCGAAAUUCCUUGUCGGGUAAGUUCCGACCUGCACGAAUGGCGUAAUGAUGGCCAGGCUGUCUCCACCCGAGACUCAGUGAAAUUGAACUCGCUGUGAAGAUGCAGUGUACCCGCGGCAAGACGGAAAGACCCCGUGAACCUUUACUAUAGCUUGACACUGAACAUUGAGCCUUGAUGUGUAGGAUAGGUGGGAGGCUUAGAAGUGUGGACGCCAGUCUGCAUGGAGCCGACCUUGAAAUACCACCCUUUAAUGUUUGAUGUUCUAACGUUGACCCGUAAUCCGGGUUGCGGACAGUGUCUGGUGGGUAGUUUGACUGGGGCGGUCUCCUCCUAAAGAGUAACGGAGGAGCACGAAGGUUGGCUAAUCCUGGUCGGACAUCAGGAGGUUAGUGCAAUGGCAUAAGCCAGCUUGACUGCGAGCGUGACGGCGCGAGCAGGUGCGAAAGCAGGUCAUAGUGAUCCGGUGGUUCUGAAUGGAAGGGCCAUCGCUCAACGGAUAAAAGGUACUCCGGGGAUAACAGGCUGAUACCGCCCAAGAGUUCAUAUCGACGGCGGUGUUUGGCACCUCGAUGUCGGCUCAUCACAUCCUGGGGCUGAAGUAGGUCCCAAGGGUAUGGCUGUUCGCCAUUUAAAGUGGUACGCGAGCUGGGUUUAGAACGUCGUGAGACAGUUCGGUCCCUAUCUGCCGUGGGCGCUGGAGAACUGAGGGGGGCUGCUCCUAGUACGAGAGGACCGGAGUGGACGCAUCACUGGUGUUCGGGUUGUCAUGCCAAUGGCACUGCCCGGUAGCUAAAUGCGGAAGAGAUAAGUGCUGAAAGCAUCUAAGCACGAAACUUGCCCCGAGAUGAGUUCUCCCUGACUCCUUGAGAGUCCUGAAGGAACGUUGAAGACGACGACGUUGAUAGGCCGGGUGUGUAAGCGCAGCGAUGCGUUGAGCUAACCGGUACUAAUGAACCGUGAGGCUUAACCUUACAACGCCGAAG